rnacentral:lncRNA from 1 species
CCAAGCCAGGAGUUCCCUGUUGGACUCGGUGGAAGCAUGAUGAAUUUGAAGAAGAGUCUCAGAGCUCAUACAAAUCUUGAUUGGCUAAAUUAAGCCUUACCUAUUGAAAUACAGAGCUAUAGGCGAAAGCAGAGAACUCGUAGCACUUUACAAUACUCAACCCAAGGCAACCCAUCUCGCAGAAAUGCAUCUGCAGAGUUGAAAUUUGCUGUACUAAAGGGAACAUUUUCAAACUUCAUGUUUUGGAAUCAUGGAAAUUAAUACUAUUGAAACAUGCCGUGUUGAUGAAAGCAUUGAAGCAAAUUGGUCUGUUGAAUUCUUAGCAGAUGUAUCAUUAUUUCCAUGAAGAGGAGGCUCAUCAUUUUCAACUGAUUGAUUUGUAUCCGAUUAUAGUUUCAGCUGGCGAAAGUCAGUUUUAUUUAAAACUGGUGGAUCAUUGAGACACAUGUUAGAAAACUUAAAUCAUUGAACGAGAUUUUCAAUUGCUGCUGUCCUAUUGUAAGCCUUGGCAACGAGACUCUAAUCUUGGUAUAGUGGGAUAAUGUGACCAGGCUAACUUCUAAACAACUUUUCAACAGCUUGAAUAAAAUACAGUUAAAUGGAUUUGAAAAAUGACCUGUCCAGUAGAUACGUCAUGUGUUGUGGCAGCUGUAACAUAAUUCAUCAAGUUUUCCUGGUCAACUCCAAAGAAUCAAGAUUUUUUGAAUGAAUUAAAUGACCAUCCAAAAGAAGCAGAACUGGGAUUAUGCGGAAAAAGUGGAAGUUAUCCUAAGGGAACAUUAAAUCUCAGAAAGCCUUUUUUGUCUACUCGAAAACAACAAGUUUGAGCAGAAAGACCAAAAUGAAUUAUGCCUUGGUUGUCUUAUUUUUUGAAUUAUGCCAACUGUUUCUCUGUUGCGUCGAGAAAAUCGAUAAAAAGGCUAUAACGCUUAACCAUUCACUAAGAAGAGCAGGUAAAAUAUCAAAAGGUAAGGAAAAGAUACUUAAGUUGAAGUGCAAUAAAUAAUUCCAAAACGAGGAAGCUUUUCGUGACUAAGAAAUUACAAUAACAAGCAUUAAUAGUUUUUAUUUUGAAGAGAAGCUUAUUUUUAAGUUUUAAUUAACCAUGCUUUGUCCGGAAGUUUAUGCAAUAAUUAAUUAUCUUUAGAGCUUUAUUUAAUCAAAGACUGCGACCUCAUUUUUUCUCAGAGUGCAAUAAAAGUUAUUUUAAUUAAAAACAGAAAGAAAAAGGCCCUUUUAAAGAACAUAAGACACUCUUGAUCUUUAACAAAUAUUUACUUAUUUUGAGAAUCACUUUCAUAAUUUGUUUAUGUUUUUAACAUUGUUUAAAAUCAAUUUACGCACAUCGUCAAGGCUUAUAAAGGGUAUUCGGUUAAAAUCUCGCUAGACGAAAUUUCCUCGCCUAAGUCUUGCGCGGGCAGAAUCUCUCAAAAAUUAAAUUUCGCGAGAACAAAUUCUUAUGGUAGAAAUUUUAAAUAAGAACUUUUAAUGAUAGGGAAAGAUAUCGAAAGGAAUACCACGGAAAAAAUAAGAUUAUGAGCACGAGACCU